rnacentral:rRNA from 1 species
AAAUACAUUAUACCAGCACUAACACAUUGAAUUACAUCAAAAUUUUGAAGUUAAGUGUGUUUGAUCAAGAAUAGUACUAAGUUGGGCGAGUCGUUGUGUUGCAUUUC